UAGCACUCAACUUCAAAAUGUGGUAUCUUGAGCUUGGGAGCUCUGAUUGAGGCAAUUCAAAUUGUUGGGGGUCUGUGUUGGUUGUUGCUACACGUUAGAGUUUUAGGGAAGUGUUGCAGGCUCUCUGUUUGCGGUAUAUUCUACUCGAAGGGUCUACCAUCUCUCUUUUGUUUUCUUCGGUUGGUGUUUUAUUUGCAUGUGGUUGUUCCGGCUGUUUUAGGCAUGGAAAUGAGCCUCGAUUUGGGUAAUGUCUAUAUCUUAUCCCCCAGGUCCUACCCCCAACCUAGAGUAGCUAGGUGGGGAAGUAAAAUCAAUCCUUUUACAUACAUAGGCUUCUCGGGUAGGAAAUGGGCCACUUCAAAUAGGUUCAUUGCUCCGGCCCAAAAUACAACUAAUCCAGCAUGGGCUACAUGAGCCCCUAGUAGUUUACCGGAUAGAUUGAUAAGUCGGUCAUUCCCGACCCACAAAGCGGAAGCUGUGGCUUCUUGGUCACGACCAUCUAAGGCUAAAUUUCUAUUCAAGAGCGUUUCCACGUGGUAGAACCUCCACAUGGAAUUUAAGGUUUUCAUGAGGCUGAUCUUGAGCCGCCAUCAUUUUCACCCUUUUUGUGUCUGAUUCCAUCUAAUCUUUUUCAAGAUCGCUUUGAUAUUUUGAAAACACAGGUCUCAAAUUUCCUUUUUUUUCUAUAUCUGAUCCACUCUCUCUUUGACUUGGGUGUUCUUUUGCUUCUUGACUUCGAUUCUUUAUUUUUAUUUUUUAUUUGAUGGUAGAAAAAAGUUUUAUUUUUUGUUUUUAUUUUGACUAACAGUUUCAUUUGUAUUCAAACUAAAAAGAACGAAUUUGCUUGGUAUAAUUCACGAUUUCAUUCCUAUCCAAUCAAAAAAGGCUUUUUCGAUUUUUUUUAGUUUUUUCUAAAUAUUGGUGAGUUGUCAAAUAAAAAACCCUUUUGUCAAUUUUAUGAAAUAUUUGAUAAUUAUUACUACCAAUUUUAGUAUUUGGAUUAUUGUUGGUAUCGAUCUUAGCCCAGGCUGUUUAUCUAAUAGAAAAAUGGAUAAUUUUCCAAUCAAAAUAUUUUAUACCGAGAUUUCUUUCUCUAUCUAGAAUAUUUCUCUUUCUUAGGUAAUUAUUCAUAUAGGAGGAAUCAAUGCAAUUUAGGAGGAAUCAAUGAGAGGAAAUCAAUUCAAAUCAUGGAUUUUCGAACUGAGAGAUCAAGAAUUCUCACCAUUUCUUAGAUUCAUGGACCCAAUGCAUUUCUUCUUUUUGGUCUCAUUUAACAUAUAAUAGUAAAGGGAAAAAACUUCUCUUAUAGAUUAUAUAGAAAAUACUUAUAUACAAUUAUAUACAAAAUAUAUAAAUACAGAACUCGUCCUAAGAAGGGGAUGUAUUUUUUUUUGUUUUAAGAAAAGGAAAAUCUUUUUUCCCGAAUCAUUGGUACAAUCUCGACAUCCACAAUGGCGUUGUGAUUGACAAUAUAUAGAGUGGGGGUGUUCGAAGAAGUUU